AGAGUUUGAUCCUGGCUCAGGACGAACGCUGGCGGCGUGCCUAACACAUGCAAGUCGAACGAGGUCCAAGAGAGCUUGCUCUCUGAAGACCGAGUGGCGAACGGGUGAGUAACACGUGAGAAACCUGCCCUGGAGUGGGGAAUAACUCGAGGAAACUCGAGCUAAUACCGCAUACCCUCUGACGAUCGCAUGGUCGACAGAGGAAAGAACUUCGCUCUAGGAGGGUCUCGCGGCCUAUCGGCUAGUUGGUGGGGUAACGGCCUACCAAGGCAACGACGGGUAGCUGGUUUGAGAGAACGAUCAGCCACACUGGGACUGAGACACGGCCCAGACUCCUACGGGAGGCAGCAGUGGGGAAUCUUGCGCAAUGGGCGAAAGCCUGACGCAGCAACGCCGCGUGCGGGAUGACGGCCUUCGUGGUUGUAAACCGCUUUCAGCAGGGACGAAAAUGACGGUACCUGCAGAAGAAGCCCCGGCUAACUACGUGCCAGCAGCCGCGGUAAU
rnacentral:rRNA from 1 species